rnacentral:rRNA from 1 species
GAUGAACGCUGGCGGCGUGCCUAAUACAUGCAAGUCGAGCGAAUGGAUUAAGAGCUUGCUCUUAUGAAGUUAGCGGCGGACGGGUGAGUAACACGUGGGUAACCUGCCCAUAAGACUGGGAUAACUCCGGGAAACCGGGGCUAAUACCGGAUAACAUUUUGAACCGCAUGGUUCGAAAUUGAAAGGCGGCUUCGGCUGUCACUUAUGGAUGGACCCGCGGCGCAUUAGCUAGUUGGUGAGGUAACGGCUCACCAAGGCAACGAUGCGUAGCCGACCUGAGAGGGUGAUCGGCCACACUGGGACUGAGACACGGCCCAGACUCCUACGGGAGGCAGCAGUAGGGAAUCUUCCGCAAUGGACGAAAGUCUGACGGAGCAACGCCGCGUGAGUGAUGAAGGCUUUCGGGUCGUAAAACUGUGUUGUUAGGGAAGAACAAGUGCUAGUUGAAUAAGCUGACACCUUGACGGUACCUAACCAGAAAGCCACGGCUAACUACGUGCCAGCCGCCGCCGUAA